CCAACAAUGAAGCAUAAAUCCAUUCCUAGAGGGUGGGGUCUGCAAGGAGAAGGACAUUGUCAUCUUCAUUAGAUUGUUUAUAUUCAGCUUGGUGUCAGACUACUGUGGUGGACAUUCUUGGGGAAGGUGAUUUGCCACACCACCAGGAACUACAUCUCAUCGUGACUCUGGCCCGCAUCCCACUGAGCAACCCCAACUCCUCAUGGGAGUUCAUGGAAGCCACGGCCACCCAGCAUUGCCACAGCAAGAAGGCUCAGGAGGUGCAUAACUGAUCUGCAGAUGAACCCAGCACCUACUCAGGUAUGGCUAAAGAAUAAAGAAGAUAAUAUCAGAAGUGCAUCUGAAGAGGAAGGUACCAAAUGGGCUCUGGGAGAACCACCUCACUUUACCAGCAUGAAGCCCCACCAGCCCUGCACUCCCAGCCUGUGGACUGUCACUCAGCAUCUUCUCAGCCUCUCAGCCGCACCUUAGGGCAGGCAGCUCCAAACAUUGGUAAGGACUGUACGACGCCACAUGCCCCGCGGCUGGACAAGGCAGAGGAGAAAAACUCACACAGGCACAAGAAUUUGAGAGUUCAAAUGAACUUGAGAGUUCUGAGUUCAAAGACGAGUCUGAUUUUCUUUCUUAAUAAAAGGCCAGUGAGGGAGGGUCUCCUGGCCUAAUCCAAAGGCAGCAAGCAGAUCACUGUUUGGUUGGGGAGAAGCGUGAGUCUCCACCGUCCUGGACCCAGCAGGGUACUCGCAUUCAGACCAUGGGUUCCCCGACCAAGAGCACUGCAGUUAGCUUAGGCGGGGAGGCGGGCCCUGCUGGGAGCGUGCUGGGCUAGAAGAGUUAUGUGGCUUGAAUUCACGUACACAAGGGACUAGACAAGCACACACUGGGCGGUCUUGACUCUGUACAUGGCAAGUCCUGGCCUGGGUCCCCCCCCAGGUCCCUGAGCAUUAAAAGUACAAAGGUGGGCUGGGUGCAGUGGCUCACGCCUGUAAUCCCAGCUCUUUGGAAGGCUGAGGCGGGUGGAUCACGAGGUC
rnacentral:lncRNA from 1 species